rnacentral:rRNA from 1 species
CCUACGGGAGGCAGCAGUGGGGAAUCUUAGACAAUGGGCGCAAGCCUGAUCUAGCCAUGCCGCGUGAGUGAUGAAGGCCUUAGGGUCGUAAAGCUCUUUCGCCUGUGAUGAUAAUGACAGUAGCAGGUAAAGAAACCCCGGCUAACUCCGUGCCAGCAGCCGCGGUAAUACGGAGGGGGUUAGCGUUGUUCGGAAUUACUGGGCGUAAAGCGCACGUAGGCGGAUUGGAAAGUUGGGGGUGAAAUCCCGGGGCUCAACCCCGGAACUGCCUCCAAAACUAUCAGUCUAGAGUUCGAGAGAGGUGAGUGGAAUUCCAAGUGUAGAGGUGAAAUUCGUAGAUAUUUGGAGGAACACCAGUGGCGAAGGCGGCUCACUGGCUCGAUACUGACGCUGAGGUGCGAAAGUGUGGGGAGCAAACAGGAUUAGAUACCCUGGUAGUCCACACCGUAAACGAUGAAUGCCAGUCGUCGGGCAGUAUACUGUUCGGGACACACCUAACGGAUUAAGCAG